rnacentral:rRNA from 1 species
AUUGAACGCUGGCGGCAUGCUUUACACAUGCAAGUCGAACGGUAACAGGUCUUCGGUUGCUGCCGUGUGUCUUACUGGUGCGUAGUUCAAUGGCACGUACUCAGCCUUGGGGUAUAACGCAGCCAAAACUGUGCUAAUACCGCUUGUGAUCUGUGCGAUCUAGCCUGGGCCCCGGCAGUAAUGUUUUGCUUCGCUCCUUUUGUGCGCUCGAUGUCAGAUUAGGUAGUUGGUGGGGUAAAGGCCUACCAAGCCUACGAGCUGUAGCUGGUCUGAGAGGACGACGAGCAACACGGGGACGGAGAAACGGCCAAGACUCCUACGGGAGGAAGCAGUGGGGAAUUUUCGAAAAUGGGCGAAAGCCUGAGCAAGAAAUGCGGCGUGCGGGAAGAGGGCCUUCGGGUUGUAAACCGCGUUUGUACGGAACGAAAAGGCUCUGGCGAAUACCGGGAAGGAAUGACGGUACCGGAAGAAAAAGCAACGGCUAACUACGUG